rnacentral:lncRNA from 1 species
CUUAUAGAAGCAGACAAGUCCGUGUAACCACUAGGCUGUUAACCUUGGCUUUCUCCAAUUUCGUAAGUUGCGUAGCAAUUAUCACAACACUUUAGGACUUAGUGUAGGUUGUUCCGCGCUUGGCAGAGGUGAAGCUUAUCAACUAUGUAGCAUGUCGGUAGUGGAUAAAACUUCGCAUAUGCAUGCUAGCUUGUUUAACCUUUCACAAGAAUGUGCAGUUGUAUAAGUCUAGCGCGGCUUUACUGCUCGAAAGGUAAGCCGUAGGCAGUCUUCCAGAAUCCGUAGGCUACCUCAGUGCACUAGGUAGCAGCUUUAGGGUUCUAGGGCAACCGUCUGUAGGGCGUACUGUGUAAUGUGCCCCCUCCGUCUCUAGGGCCCGAUUCCACACAGAUUAGGCCAAGACACCAAAAAUCCUUCAGUUAGUUAAGUCUUGACAAAGACCAUUGUGGCUAUUUCUAGGAAUUCUGGCACAAGCCAUCAUGCAUCUAGUUAUACUAGGGUAGCCAGGCUCAUCCACGUUUGGAUAUUCGGAGUGUAAAAUUUAUCCUCCCAUCUUGGAAAGCUGACCCAUAUGGGUGUCGGAGAAUUGGUUUACCCUCUUGUACUAGAGAGCAAUUAGUUUACCCUCUCUCACUGGAGAGUAAUUAGUUUAUCUUUUCGCACUGGAGAGCAUGGUUGGUCCCUCGGGGGGCACAAUUCCUGUGAUGAAUCACUAAGUAGGGCACAUUCUUCUUUUGAAGUGCAGGAGUGAUCAGUUGUUGUAAGUAUGUAGCCGAGCCAAUUUGUGAUUACUUCUGAAUUCCUCAUUGAAAAAAUGAGUGAAACGAAUGAGAACUUAGCUGUAAGGUAGGAAUUGCAUAACAACUGGAUAGUCAUCAACUUGUGAGGUGGUGCCCGUUGAGCUUCUUGAGUCUUCAGGUUUUGAUGUAGCGGGAGGUCACACAUGGUACUUCUUUAGAUUGUAGGCCAUCCACUGUUUUUUUAUCUUUUUGCCGUUUCAUGGUGGCGAGGGUGUAAUUACUCUUGCCGCCUUCUCUGCUGAUAUUGUACAGACUUUCCCAAAUGAGAUUCAUCUUUUUGGAGCCUUCUCUGCGAGCAGUGAUGAAGGCCUUAAGACUAGAUCUAUGGGCUGGAACUGUCGGAUCUUGGCCCUUUUGUUAUAGCUGGAGAGGAACUGCUGCUGGUAAGCUGCGAUGCAGGUGAUAGUCUGCUCGUACUUCUCCUCUGCCAGAUUUAAGCUAGUGGCCAUCUCAUUUCGGUUGCUCGUCUUUUGGUGGUAUGAUAUGCCCAUAGACAUUCUUGGAGUUUGUCUGGCAAUUUUCUUUUUGUAUUGGUGGGGUAUAUCUUGUAGCAGUUGAGGAUCAUCUUAGUGGAUGCUUUGGCCCGCCUAUUGCCUUGAGGAUAUCUUGGCGUAGACAUGUGCUGCUUGAUGCCAUAUUUUUAGAAGAACUUUGCCAAAUCUUUGCCCAUAAAUUACGGGUUGUUGUCGGUGACGAUGGAUUAAGGGAUGCCAAAUCGGCAAAUGAUGCUCCUUCAUAUGAAGCGCUAUAUGUCCGUCUGAACCAUGAUCAUCAUGGGCUCUGCUUCUACUUAUUUGGUGAAGUAGUCGGUUGCCACGAUCAUCAUGCCUUUGCCCUUAGUAGUCUGGUUGGUGAUUAGCUAGGACUUAAAAUGAAUUGAAAGCUUUUCCACCACAAAGUCUUUUGUCAUUCGAAUGCCUGUUAGUGGGGCUUCGUACUCUGCUUCGUUGUUAGAUGCUUUGAAGCUUAGAGUGAUCGCCUCAUCGAGCAUUAAAACGUUUGGGGUGGUAAGAACCGCGGCUGCUUACAAGCCUUCGUAGUUGGAUGUGCCGUCGACAUAUCUUCAUUGAGGGAGCAGGUGUGGCUAAAGUGCGCUCGGCUGCCUUCGGGGCGUUGUUGAGCUGCUCUGUUGCAUUGUCAAGGCUAGGCUUGAAGGAGCGGUAGGGAGCUAUGGAGCUGGGGCCAUGUUACAUGUAGCAGGAUAUGCUUAACUUCUGGUAUUAGGCCACUCUAGAGCUGAAUAAUAGAGCAAGGGUCAGCUAGGGUCGUGUGACGUGCUAUAGGAGGUAGUGUUCGACUGCCAGUACAUGUUGCUCUUACGUAGAAUCUUCUGGGGUGAUGAGGACAAAACUUGCUUUUGAGUGUUCCUUCUAGUGUUCGUCUAUCCUUGGCAUGUCUUUUAGGCCGAGUUGUUGCAUUUGUCAGAAAACUUUGCAUCUGCCAAGGUCUACGCCUUUAUCAUCGCGGGUUUAGAUUCGGCAGAAUAGUGCGUUAUGAUGAUGAUUGCAUGCGUUUGAAGGUAAAACUUAAGCUUUUGGGUUACAAUAACUAUCGCCAAAGUUAGCUUUUGAAUUUUUAAUAGCAUUGAGGAAAGCUUUUGAACUGUAGAAUACAACAGCUCUUCUCGCAUAAUGGUAGAGCUUAUUACUACUUUAGAUACUGUCAAACAUGCGAAUAAGUCAUCCGCUGCUUCUAGGAAGGUGAUGUCGGGUACUUCUUCAAGUCCUUGAAUGUGCAUUGGCGAGCCUCAUCCCAAAGUACAUGCUUCUCUGUGAUAGGAGCAUAUUUAUGCGCCUUAGUUAGCUAGUUCUUAUGCAUUUUAGUUAUGUUUUCUUAGUUUAAAGUAGUCUUUUAAGUUAGUUUCAUGUGUUUUCAGGUUUUAAGAGCAUAUUACAUAAAAUGAUGCAAUUUGGAGCAUUUGAGAGCAAAAUUGAGCUGGAAUGGAGUGUAUGCUUAUGGAGCACAAGGAAUGGACGAGUUUGAAGGUCAAAGGAGCUUAAGAAAUGAAGAAAUGAAAGUGAAGUACAAAGAAGUCGGAAUUGGCAACCAAAGUUUCUAAAGUUGGAAGUUUCUAUUCUUAGAGGUUUCCAUUUUCGAGAGUUUCUAUUCUUGGUUUUGGGCUUUCUAGAAGCCCUAUCUACAAACCCUAACCCUAGCCCACUAAUCAGCCGCACCUAGCCUUCUAGAACACCUAUUUCCUUGCCUUGCAAGGCAUUCUAGAAGGCCCAUCUCUAACCCUAGCCGCACCUAAACCCUAGCCCAUUGUCUAACCUGAUUUCUUUAGGGUUUGUGGUGCCUAUAUAUAUGUGUUUUAAGCCUAAAUUCAUCACCCCCCAUAUCAUCCAUUCACUCCAGAAAAUCAUUCUAAACCCUUGCCGCAACCACCAAUCCCAUUCUCCCUAGUUCUAAGUCCUUGCCGUGCCUCCCUAGUCCUUUUAACCCUUCUACCCUCUUUCAUAACCAUCCAUCCACCACAGCCGUGCCUUCCCACCACCAUCACCACCUUGUGCAGCCACCAAAGGAGGAGAAAGAAGGAGUGCCGUGCAGUCCAAAAGAGGAAGACACCUUGCACAUGCAAUCUGCCAUUAGUGGAGUGUUUGGAGUU